CUUCCGAUCAGCGAGGUACAUCUACCUCGUUGACCGGAAGAGUUUCCUUCCGGUCAACGAGGAUGUACCUCGUUGAUUGGAAGGAACCCCUUCUGAUCAAAGAGGUAGAUGUACCUCCCUGAUUGGAAG
rnacentral:miRNA from 1 species